UAUGUGCUCCCUCCGUCCGAAAAUACUUGUCAUUAAAAUGAAUAAAAGGUGAUGUAUCUAGAUGUAUUUUAAUUUUAGAUACAUUAUUUUUUAUCCAUUUUGAUGACAAGUAUUUUCGAACGGAGGAAGUACAAA
rnacentral:pre_miRNA from 1 species